GGACAACCUACCCUGAAGAGGGGGAUAACCCCGGGAAACUGGGGAUAAUACCCCAUAGACUAUGGAUGCUGGAAUGCUUUGUAGUUGAAAGGUCCGCCGCUUCAGGAUGGGUCUGCGGCCGAUUAGGUUGUUGUUGGGGUAACGGCCCAACAAGCCUGUAAUCGGUACGGGUUGUGGGAGCAAGAGCCCGGAGAUGGAUUCUGAGACACGAAUCCAGGCCCUACGGGGCGCAGCAGGCGCGAAAACUUUACAAUGCGAGCAAUCGUGAUAAGGGAACUCCGAGUGCCUGUAAAAUCAGGCUGUCCGCCAGUGUAAAUAACUGGUGAAGAAAGGGCCGGGCAAGACCGGUGCCAGCCGCCGCGGUAAUACCGGCGGCUCGAGUGGUGGCCACUAUUACUGGGCUUAAAGCGUUCGUAGCUGGUCUGUUAAGUCUCUGGGGAAAUCUUCCGGCUUAACCGGAAGGCGUCUCAGGGAUACUGGCAGACUAGGGACCGGAAGAGGUGAGAGGUACUCCAGGGGUAGGAGUGAAAUCCUGUAAUCCUUGGGGGACCACCUGUGGCGAAGGCGUCUCACCAGGACGGCUCCGACAGUGAGGAACGAAAGCCGGGGGAGCAAACCGGAUUAGAUACCCGGGUAGUCCCAGCUGUAAACGAUGCGCGUUAGGUGUAUCGGUGACCACGAGUCACCGAGGUGCCGAAGAGAAAUCGUGAAACGCGCCGCCUGGGAAGUACGGUCGCAAGGCUAAAACU
rnacentral:rRNA from 1 species